GUGGGGAAUUUUCCACAAUGGGCGAAAGCCUGAUGGAGCAACGCCGCGUGUGUGAUGAAGGUCUUCGGAUUGUAAAGCACUUUCGACCGGGACGAAAAACCUCUGGCUAACAUCCAGGGGCCUGACGGUACCGGGAGAAGAAGCACCGGCUAACUCUGUGCCAGCAGCCGCGGUAAUACAGAGGGUGCAAGCGUUGUUCGGAAUUAUUGGGCGUAAAGCGCGUGUAGGCGGCUUGAAAAGUCAGAUGUGAAAUCCCUCGGCUUAACCGAGGAAGUGCGUCUGAAACUCUCGAGCUUGAGUGCCGGAGAGGGUGGCGGAAUUCCGCAAGUAGAGGUGAAAUUCGUAGAUAUGCGGAGGAACACCGGUGGCGAAGGCGGCCACCUGGACGGCAACUGACGCUGAGACGCGAAAGCGUGGGGAGCAAACAGGAUUAGAAACCCCAGUAGUCC
rnacentral:rRNA from 1 species